GUCGACGCUUCUUUUUCCACCGGAGCUUGCUCCACCGGAAAAAGAGGAGUGGCGAACGGGUGAGUAACACGUGGGUAACCUGCCCAUCAGAAGGGGAUAACACUUGGAAACAGGUGCUAAUACCGUAUAACAAUCGAAACCGCAUGGUUUUGAUUUGAAAGGCGCUUUCGGGUGUCGCUGAUGGAUGGACCCGCGGUGCAUUAGCUAGUUGGUGAGGUAACGGCUCACCAAGGCCACGAUGCAUAGCCGACCUGAGAGGGUGAUCGGCCACAUUGGGACUGAGACACGGCCCAAACUCCUACGGGAGGCAGCAGUAGGGAAUCUUCGGCAAUGGACGAAAGUCUGACCGAGCAACGCCGCGUGAGUGAAGAAGGUUUUCGGAUCGUAAAACUCUGUUGUUAGAGAAGAACAAGGAUGAGAGUAACUGUUCAUCCCUUGACGGUAUCUAACCAGAAAGCCACGGCUAACUACGUGCCAGCAGCCGCGGUAAUACGUAGGUCCCAAGCGUUGUCCGGAUUUAUUGGGCGUAAAGCGAGCGCAGGCGGUUUCUUAAGUCUGAUGUGAAAGCCCCCGGCUCAACCGGGGAGGGUCAUUGGAAACUGGGAGACUUGAGUGCAGAAGAGGAGAGUGGAAUUCCAUGUGUAGCGGUGAAAUGCGUAGAUAUAUGGAGGAACACCAGUGGCGAAGCGGCUCUCUGGUCUGUACUGACGCUGGGCUCGAAGCGUGGGGAGCAACAGGAU
rnacentral:rRNA from 1 species